rnacentral:snoRNA from 1 species
UUCUCACUUUUCACAUAGCCAAUUGCACAUGUCUUUAUUGGUCAUUCAAGUGGAGCAAAGGAAACAUCGUUUUAAAACUCAGGUGAACUGUUUGUCUUAUAUCCUGUCAGGAAACAAAC